UCUCUCUCUCUCUUACUCACUCAUCUCACCCAUGGUCACAAGGCACGGUCAUACAAGCGGGUUAGGGUGAGUCAACCCGUUGGGUAAGUGAACACGAACACAGGGGGACUCGACUCAGUUGGAGGCAGGUGUGGAGGAGGGCAAGGCAGGUUUGUUAGCGAGUUGCCAGGCGGAGGUGGCAAUGAGGGGGCGAGUGUGCCAACCCAGCAUCAGACACCCAUUGUUCUCCUCCACCCUGUACCCAUCCCCACCCGCGAAUAGAGCCAGCAGCAUACUCGCUUGCUUGAAAGCGUUGGACCCUAGGUUCACUGGGUCGAACCCCGCCGAUCCCAACCGGGCUCUCCACUGAGCCAGCGUUUCGUGCCGCUCCACUCGCUCAGGCCCCUCGCAGGCCACCACGUUACAG
rnacentral:lncRNA from 1 species